ACAGGCUUAACACAUGCAAGUCGAGGGGCAGCAUGAACUUAGCUUGCUAAGUUUGAUGGCGACCGGCGCACGGGUGAGUAACACGUAUCCGACCUGCCGAUGACUCGGGGAUAGCCUUUCGAAAGAAAGAUUAAUACCCGAUGGCAUAGUUCUUCCGCAUGGUAGAACUAUUAAAGGAUUUCGGUCAUCGAUGGGGAUGCGUUCCAUUAGGUUGUUGGCGGGGUAACGGCCCACCAAGCCUUCGAUGGAUAGGGGUUCUGAGAGGAAGGUCCCCCACAUUGGAACUGAGACACGGUCCAAACUCCUACGGGAGGCAGCAGUGAGGAAUAUUGGUCAAUGGACGAGAGUCUGAACCAGCCAAGUAGCGUGAAGGAUGACUGCCCUAUGGGUUGUAAACUUCUUUUAUACGGGAAUAAAGUGAGGCACGUGUGCCUUUUUGUAUGUACCGUAUGAAUAAGGAUCGGCUAACUCCGUGCCAGCAGCCGCGGUAAUACGGAGGAUCCGAGCGUUAUCCGGAUUUAUUGGGUUUAAAGGGAGCGUAUGCGGACGCUUAAGUCAGUUGUGAGAGUUUGCGGCUCAACCGUAAAAUUGCAGUUGAUACUGGGU
rnacentral:rRNA from 1 species